rnacentral:rRNA from 1 species
ACGCUCGACACCUACGGGGGCAGCAGUGAGGAAUAUUGGUCAAUGGGCGCUAGCCUGAACCAGCCAAGUAGCGUGAAGGAUGAAGGCUCUAUGGGUCGUAAACUUCUUUUAUAUAAGAAUAAAGUGCAGUAUGUAUACUGUUUUGUAUGUAUUAUAUGAAUAAGGAUCGGCUAACUCCGUGCCAGCAGCCGACGGUAAUCUGAGCGGGCUGGCAAGGC